ensembl:lncRNA
CCUCCAUACUGAGAUGUGCUGUCUGUCCUCCAUACUGAGAUGGCUGUCUGUCCUCUACAAAAUGUGCUGUCUGUCCUCCAUAUUGAGAUGGCUGUCUGUCCUCUACUGAGAUGGCUGUCUGUCCUCCAUACUGAGAUGGCUGUCUGUCCUCUACUGAGAUGGCUGUCUGUCCUCUACUGAGAUGGCUGUCUGUCCUCCAUAUUGAGAUGGCUGCCUGUCCUCCAUAUUGAGAUGGCUGUCUGUCCUCCAUACUGAGAGGGCUGUCUGUCCUCCAUAUUGAGAUGGCUGUCUGUCCUCCAUAUUGAGAUGGGCUGUCUGUCCUCCAUAUUGAGAUGUGCUGUCUGUCCUCCAUACUGAGAUGGCUGUCUGUCCUCCAUAUUGAGAUGGGCUGUCUGUCCUCCAUAUUGAGAUGUGCUGUCUGUCCUCCAUACUGAGAUGGCUGUCUGUCCUCCAUACUGAGAU